rnacentral:lncRNA from 10 species
CUGAAAUUAUUUCAAAUAAAAAGUUGUAAUAAGUCUAGGUGCAGUGGCUCACUUGUAAUCCCAGUACUUUGGGAGGCCAAGGUGGGAGGAUGGCUUGAGCCCGGGAGUUUGAGACCAGCCUGGGCAACAUAGUAAGACUCUGUCUCUACAAAAAUUUAAAAAAUAGCCACCCAUGGUGGCACAUGUCUGUAGUCCCAGCUACUUGAGAGGCUGAGGCAGGAAGACCACUUGAGCCCAGGAGGAUCACUCUUGCCACUAUAUUCCAGCCUGGGCAACAGAGCAAGAUUCUUGUCUCCAGAAAAAAAAAAAAAAAAAAAGUUGUCAUAAAUGACUAGUAAUUAACUACACUUAUUAAAUUUCUGAACUUUUGCAUGAGAUAUAGUGCUUGUUAGUAAAUUCUAUUUGUAAUAGAAUUAAGGUCCAGAGUAAUUAUUUUUCACAUGAUAUCUCACAGAAUUAUUGUGAGGAACAAACGUAAAUAUGUAUGAAUACGGUCUAUAAACCAUUAUUUGAAUGCAUUGUUUUCACUAUUAUUGUUACUAUUAUUAUUAUUAUCAUCAUCAUUCUUUUUAGUUAAAGUGGGUAAUUCUUACUGGGGAGUAAUGGGUGCUGGUGUCAGAAAGUAACAAGAACAAUAUAUGGAACAAGAUAUUGAAUGCCAGGCCAGGGCACUUGAAUUUUGCCUUCUGGAAUACUGAAAAGUCAUUGCUUACCAAAAUGGCUGGGGAGAAAGUUGAAUCCUUUUUCCUUCUUUUUUUUUUUUCUUUUUUAACACAGACUGCUCAUCUGCAAGAAAGUUUAAGUUUUUUUGUUUGUUUGUUUUUUGGUUUUUUUUUUAGACAGGCUCUUGGUCUGUCACCCAGGCUGGAAUGCAGUGGCUCGAUCUCGGCUCCUUGCAACCUCUCAAGCCAUCCUCCCACUUCAGCCUCCCAAGUAGCUGGAACUAUAGGCACACACCACCACACCUGGCUAAGUUUUGUACUUUUCGUAGAGAUGGGGUCUCGCUAUGUUGUCCAGGCUGGUCUCGAACUCCUGAGCUCAAGCAAUCUGCCCGCCUCAGCCUCCCAAAAUGCUGGGAUUACAGGUGUGAGCCGCCAUGCCCAGUGGUGAAUUCUUAACAGUUCUAAAAGGUAUCCAUAGAGAUCAGAUAAUGGUUCAACCUCCUCAUUUUGCAGUUAAGCUGGUGGAUUUGGCAGAUGAAGCAUGUGAAUUAGAGUCUUGUGGAUGAAGCUGUGCAGAUUCAAAGAUUGAAAGGGCAGAAAAAGAAACACAAGGAGAUAAGAAAUGUCACAUCACCAGGACCAAUUACAUAAUUAGGAGGGCCCAGUGCAAAAUGAAAAUGCAGGGCCCAGGCCAGACGCGGUGGCCCACGCCUAUAAUCCCAGCACUUUGGG